rnacentral:rRNA from 1 species
GCGUGGGUGAAGAAGGUCUUCGGAUUGUAAAGCCCUUUCGGCGGGGACGAUGGUGACGGUACCCGCAGAAGAAGCCCCGGCUAACUUCGUGCCAGCAGCCGCGGUAAUACGAAGGGGGCGAGCGUUGCUCGGAAUGACUGGGCGUAAAGGGCGCGUAGGCGGAUCGCGCAGUCGGGCGUGAAAUCCCCGGGCUCAACCCGGGACGUGCGCCCGAGACGCGUGGUCUGGAGUGGGGGAGAGGGUCGCGGAAUUCCCAGUGUAGAGGUGAAAUUCGU